rnacentral:rRNA from 1 species
AUGCGCCCACCCCGACUCCCCCUCCCUCACUGUAUCCAUCCCACCACACCGCAGCCGCUCAGACCGCCCCGCCCCCGAAAGAAGGCGCAAAUUGCAGACGGGUCCACGGAUCGAUCCCCAAUCCCAAUCUUCCCGGCCGCCGCGAUGGGCAUCUCCAGCAUGCCGGCGCCCAAGGAGAGCCUCCUGAUCUACCUGCUCUACCACGCCGUCGUCUCGAUCGCCGCCCUGGCGGGCCUCCUCCGCGCCGCGCUCGUCUUCCUCGGCCUCCCCGCGCCGCCCUCGCUGCUGGCCGGCGAGGACGCCGACGGCGCCGACCAGCUCACGGCGGCCACCCCGGCGGGCCCCAGCCUGGCGGAGCGGUUCAGGAGCAGGUUCCGCCCCGCGCGGUUCGGCCGGAGAAGGGGCGCGGCGGCGUCGGCGACACCCGACUGCCGCGUCUGCCUGGUGCGGUUCGAGGCCGACGCCGUGGUGAACCGCCUCCCCUGCGGCCACCUCUUCCACCGCGCCUGCCUCGAGACCUGGCUGGACUACGACCACGCCACCUGCCCGCUCUGCCGCUCCCGCCUCCUCCCGGCCGCCGCCUCCGCCGCCGACGAGUCGUGGUCGCCGCCGGCGCCCACCCUGACGGCCUGGAUUUAG